rnacentral:rRNA from 1 species
UACAGAGGGGGCAAGCGUUGUUCGGAAUUACUGGGCGUAAAGGGCGCGUAGGCGGCCUGUUAAGUCGAACGUGAAAUCCCCGGGCUCAACCCGGGAACUGCGUCCGAUACUGGCAGGCUUGAAUCCGGGAGAGGGAUGCGGAAUUCCAGGUGUAGCGGUGAAAUGCGUAGAUAUCUGGAGGAACACCGGUGGCGAAGGCGGCAUCCUGGACCGGCAUUGACGCUGAGGCGCGAAAGCCAGGGGAGCAAAUGGG